AGUCAAUCGAGUCACUCACUGCUCCAAUCCGACAGUAUCCGGUCGCAUCAAGCAAAUAGAACUUUUUAACUAUGAAAAGCACAUCACUACCUUUGGUUUUCUUGGCCGUGUUGCUUGCGGUUAGUCUGCCAGGAUCGACUGCGGUUCCUGUAGGAACUUGUCCGUCAGUUGAUGGACCGAAUCCAGUUUACUUGACAGACUCUGUUAGAUGCGAUGUGUUUUAUGAAUGCAGCAACGGAUAUGCGAAUGAAAAGAUUUGCCCAAACAACCCUUACGCAAAUCCGCCCGCAAAUUUGCACUGGAACAAAGCCUUGAGCGUCUGUGAUUUUCCACAAAAUGCUAAUUGCUCUCUAUAAU